GUCAGGAAUUACUGCUUCCCGGGAGCAUGCCUCAACCAAUGAUGCACAGGAGAUGGUAUACAAAUGUUCCAACUCUCUCCCCUCAAGUGGAAUGAUUCUAAGGUAUGCAUGUUACACUAGUUCCUGGAAUUUACUCGUGAUCUUAAGUGGCAGUCACUCACUGUGAUAGCUGAUUUAAUAAUACCCCCUUUUUUGAUUUCCCUCCCUCACUUACUAUUUUCCUGCCGGUAUUCCCUGCACCUCCUUAAUAAACUACUUAUACUUGAAUCCGUAUGUCUGAGUCUGCUUUUCCAGAACCCAAACCAAGACCAAAAGGCCAUUCAUACCCCGCAUAAAUCCUGAAAAGGCUUCAAAUCAAUAUUGAAUAUGCAGGUACAGUGGGAUAUUUCCUUCAAACCAAGAUGCCCUAGGGAUGGGGCAUAACACCCUUCUAUAACAUUCAUGUCUGCCUUUGCCCAUUUUGUUCAAUCCACUGCAGUACGGACAGAAAUGGAAGAAUUUUCUGAGCUCUGUAGCAUCCUUUUGACUGAUCUCCAUAGCUCCAGCUUCUCCCUCCGCCCAGCCCUGCAUGAUGCCGUCAGGUCUGGGUAUGACUUAGCUGGGUCCUCUGCUUAGUGUCUCUCAAAGCUCC
rnacentral:lncRNA from 13 species